rnacentral:rRNA from 1 species
CUUUAGCUGACGAGUGCGCGGACGGGUGAGUAAUACUUAAUGAACAUGCCUUUGUGUGGGGGAUAACCAUUGGAAACGAUGGCUAAUACCGCAUAAUGUCUUUGGACCAAAGAGGGCUUUCGGGCUCUCGCGCAAAGAGUGGCCUAAGUGAGAUUAGCUUGUUGGUGAGGUAAAGGCUCACCAAGGGGACGAUCUCUAGCUGUUCUGAGAGGAAGAUCGGCCACCCUGCCACUGUCACACGGCCCAGACUCCUACGGAAGGCAGCAGUGGGGAAUAUUGCCCGAUGCGGGCAACCCUGAUGCAGGCAUGCCGCGUGAGUGAAGAAGGACUUCGGCUUGUGAAGUACUUUCGACUGUGACGAAAGGAUGAUGUCCAAUACCCUUCAGGUGUGACGUCAGCAACAUAAGAAGCACCGGCUAACUCCGUGCCAGCACUCGCGGUAAUACGGAUGGAGCUAGCGUAGUUCGGAAUUACUGGGCUUACAGCGUAUGUACGUGGACUAGAUAGUCAGGAGUGAAAUCCCAGGGCUCAACCCUGGAACUGCUUCUGAUACUUCUAGUCUAGAAAUCCUGGAGAGGUAGGAAGAAU